ACCUUCUUGUUUCAAAGCACUGUGCUAAAAUUGCAAAAAUUAAGGCAAUGCCUUGGUCUUUGUAAUAAUGCUAGCACAGUAUAUACAAGAAGAAGAACAAAUGCACUAGAUCGAAAAAAGACUUGGGUGGACCUCUUUCUUAAUGUCCAGUGUCCUGUGUCUUAAGAUCCUAGUGCGAUAUCU
rnacentral:snoRNA from 15 species